rnacentral:rRNA from 1 species
UACGAGGGGGGCUAGCGUUGUUCGGAAUUACUGGGCGUAAAGCGUGCGCAGGCGGCCUUCCAAGUCAGGGGUGAAAGCCCAGAGCUCAACUCUGGAAUUGCCUUUGAGACUGUGAGGCUUGAGUACGGGAGAGGUGAGUGGAAUUCCCAGUGUAGAGGUGAAAUUCGUAGAUAUUGGGAAGAACACCGGUGGCGAAGGCGGCUCACUGGCCCGAAACUGACGCUCAUGCACGACAGCGUGGGGAUCAAACAGG